rnacentral:sRNA from 1 species
AUGAUUUUUACGUAAUUUUUAAGAGGUCGACAAAAGUAGUGACCUGAGUUAUGAUGGGAGUAGGCGUAAAAUAGAGCGGGUUUUAACUACUUAUUAUGAAAUGUAAAUUUCAUUACAAUACGGAUAAUAUUCAUGUUCAUAUUGGUUUUAACUACUUAUUAUGAAAUGUAAAUUCGCUUGUGUAUAAACACAAGUCUACCGCAACACCGUUUUAACUACUUAUUAUGAAAUGUAAAUUAACUUAAAUAAGCAUAAGGAAAUGCCGCGCAUGGUUUUAACUACUUAUUAUGAAAUGUAAAUGAAGGAUAAAAUAUUUUAAGAGUAGGUGAACUCCUGUUUUAACUACUUAUUAUGA